rnacentral:rRNA from 1 species
CAGCAGCUGCGGUAACACGAAGGGUGCAAGCGUUACUCGGAAUUACUGGGCGUAAAGCGUGUGUAGGUGGUUGUUCAAGUCUGUCGUGAAAGCCCUGGGCUCAACCUGGGAAUUGCGAUGGAUACUGGGCGACUAGAGUGCGGUAGAGGAUAGUGGAAUUUCCGGUGUAGCAGUGAAAUGCGUAGAGAUCGGAAGGAAUAUCUGUGGCGAAGGCGACUAUCUGGGCCAACACUGACACUGAGGCACGAAAGCGUGGGGAGCAAACAGGAUUAGAGACCCCGGUAGUCCCUGUCUCUUAUAC